CAUCCCGUACGUUCACCGAAUUUAAGCAACUUCGAGCCUGCUCAGUACAAAGAUGGGUGACCGCUUGGGAAUUCCAGGUGC